rnacentral:rRNA from 1 species
AUGGCUAAGCAGCAGAAGAACGCGCACGUCCCGAAGUUCGGCAACUGGGACAACGACGGCAACGUCCCCUACACGCUCUACUUCGACAACGCACGCAAGGGCAAGGGCGGCAAGCCCAUCAACCCCAACGACCCCGUCGAGAACCCCGAGGCCUUCUCCUCCUCCGUCGUCGCGCCGUCGCCGAACCGCUCCUUCGACCAGGGCAGGCCGGCUCUCCCUCCUGCCUCCCCGCCUCCGGCUCACCACCACGAGCGCCGGCCCAGCGACGCGCCGGCGGCCGCCCCGCCGCUGUCCCCGUACCACCGCAACUCCGGUGGCGAGCCGCCAAGAAGAGGCCCCGGCGGCGGACGGGCAGGCGGAGGCGGGUACAGCGUGGAGCAGUCACCGGCACCGUCCCCGCUGCACCCGUACGGGCAGUCGAGGGCCGAGUACUCCGAUGGCAGCGGCUACGGCCUCGUGGCCAACUCCGUCGACCGGUCCCGUGCCAGGGGCGCCUCCCGCGGCAACGAAACACCGACGAGGGGGUCGGCGGUGCCCAAGUUCGGCGACUGGGACUCCAACCCGGCGUCGGCCGAUGGCUACACGCACAUCUUCAACAAGGUGAGGGAGGAGAAGAGCACCCAGGCCAAGGCACCGGGGCUUGGCAAGGACAACGUCGCAUAUGGCAAUGGCGCCAGGAAGCACGACGACGGCUACGUCUCCUCGAGUCGCUGGUGCUUUGGGUGGUGCAAGUAG